rnacentral:rRNA from 1 species
UAAAACCAGCUCUUCAAGUGGUCGGGAUAUUUAUUGGGCUUAAAGUGUCCGUAGCUUGUAUGAUAAGUUCCUGGUAAAAUCUAAUAGCUUAACUAUUAGAAGGCUAGGAAUACUGUUGUACUAGAGGGCGGGAGAGGUCUGAGGUACUUCAGGGGUAGGGGUGAAAUCUUAUAAUCCUUGUAGGACCACCAGUGGCGAAGGCGUCAGACUGGAACGCGCCUGACGGUGAGGGACGAAAGCCAGGGGAGCGAACCGGAUUAGAUACCCGGGUAGUCCUGGCCGUAAACGAUGCAUACUAGGUGAUGGUACGGCCAUGAGCCGUAUCAGUGCCGUAGGGAAACCGUUAAGUGUGCCGCCUGGGAAGUACGGUCGCAAGGCUA